CUCACUCAGCUUCUACGCUGGAAAUUCAAGCUCUUCUUCCUCUCAACUCAAAACCCCUAAUCACCACUACAAAAGGAUUUGUGGACCCAAAACGCUGCGUUUUGAUUCCACUCACAGUCUCAGACUUAACCCAACUCUUCUUCUGACCCUGAGGUAGAUAAUGCUGGCAAUUUCCAUCAUUGCUUGAGAAGGAUAAGCAUGAGUCACUUUUUCAAAUCCUUUCCAGGAAAGCCUUUGAAGUGCUCUUAUCUCUAGCUACACUCUCAUGGAUGUUGAAGCAGUAGAUGAAGGGGAAAACAUUGAUAGACCUGCUUCUGAAAAUGUUGAAACUGAAAAAGGCCAGGGACAUGUUAUGACUGUAAACUUGGCUGAAAGAGAAGUAAAUAAUCAGUAUGGUGAUGCAUAUAGGAAACCACAAGUGGGCAUGCUGUUUGAAUCUGAAGACGCUGCAAAAUCAAUUUAUGAGGCAUAUGCAAGACAUGUAGGAUUUAGCACCCAUGUUGGUCAAUUCAGUCGUGCUAAGCCUGAUGGUCCAAUUAUAACUUGGGAUUUUGCUUGUUCUUGGGAGGUAUUUAAAAGGAAGAACGUAGUAAGUUGCAAUGCAAUGCUUAGGAUUGAGAGAAAAGAUGCAAACUGGGUAGUGACAAAAUUUGUUGAGGAUCAUAACCAUUCCCUUGCUUCCCCUAGAAAGGUGCAGUAUCUUCGACCCCGUAGGCAUUUUGCAGGUGCUACAAGAAAUGUUGCAGAGACAUUUGAUGCCAGUAAUGAUUCUUAUGUUCCCUUGAAUGGCAAUCAUUUAGAAGCAGUUAGUAUAGUUCGGAGUUCCUCUCCAGCAGAAAAAAGUCAUCCAACAAGAAACAUUGAUUCUUUUACCAAUGUAAGAUCUUCCCGAAAGAGGACCCUUGGAAGAGAUGCUCAAAAUCUUCUAAAUUAUUUUAAGCAAAUGCAGGCAGAAAACCCUGGCUUCUAUUAUGCAAUACAGCUUGAUGAUGAGAACCGCAUGACCAACGUAUUCUGGGCUGAUGCAAGGUCAAGAUCAGCUUAUAAUUACUUUGGUGAUGCGGUAAUUUUUGACACAAUGUAUAGACCAAAUCAAUACCAAGUCCCAUUUGCUCCAUUUACAGGAGUCAAUCAUCAUGGUCAGAUGGUUUUAUUUGGUUGUGCAUUACUUGUAGACGAAUCUGAGUCUUCCUUUACUUGGCUGUUCAGGACGUGGCUAACUGCUAUGAAUGAUCGACCACCUGUUUCUAUAACCACUGACCAAGAUAGAGCCAUACAAGCAGCUGUUGCCCAGGUGUUUCCAGAAACUCGCCACUGUAUUUGUAAGUGGCACAUUUUGAGAGAAGGUCAAGAAAGAUUGGCUCAUAUUUACCUUGCUCAUCCUUCAUUCUAUGGGGAGCUAUAUAGCUGCAUCAAUUUCUCUGAGACUAUUGAGGAUUUUGAAUCAGCAUGGAAGUCUCUCCUAGAUAAAUAUGAUCUCCAGAAAAAUGAUUGGCUUCAAGCAGUGUAUAAUGCUCGCAAACAAUGGGCCCCUGUUUACUUUCGUGGUACUUUCUUUGCUGCAUUUACUUCAAACCAUGGGGUUAGCUCCUUUUUUGAUGGCUAUGUAAAUCAACAGACAACCAUACCUUUUUUCUUUAAGCAGUAUGAAAGAUCUCUUGAACAUUCACUGGAAAAAGAAAUAGAAGCAGAUUAUGAUACCAUUUGUACCACACCUGUGUUGAAGACUCCAUCACCAAUGGAGCAACAGGCUGCAAAUCUGUAUACUAAGAAGAUUUUUGCAAAGUUUCAGGAGGAACUGGUGGAAACUUUUGUGUAUACAGCAAAUAAUGUUGAUGAUGAUGGUGUGGUCAGUAAAUACAGGGUUGCAAAAUAUGAACAUGAUCACAAGGCAUACAUGGUUACAUUAGAUAUCUCUGAAAUGAAGGCAAAUUGCAGCUGUCAGAUGUUUGAAUACGCAGGCAUUCUUUGUCGGCAUAUAUUGACUGUCUUCACUGUUACAAAUGUUCUUACCCUUCCAUCGCACUACAUUUUGAACCGAUGGACAAGGAAUGCGAAAUCCAGUAUUGGAACAGAUGAUAGAAUAUCAGAUCCACUUGGCAUUGAGAACCUAACCAUACGCUUCAAUAGUUUAUGUCAAGAAGCCAUUAAGCUUGCAGAAGAAGGGGCAAUAGCUGUAGAAACUUAUAAUGCAGCAAUUAAUGCUUUAAGAGAGGGUUCUAAAAGGGUUGCUUUUGUGAAGAAAAAUGUUGCAAAAGUCAUACCUCCAACCACUCAGGGUAAUGGAAGCAGUCAGGAAGACAAUGGCAAGAGGAGCCCUUCAUCAAUUUCUGAAGUCAUCCCAUCAUUAUGGCCUUGGCCAGAUUCAGUGACACAUCACUUUAAUCUUAAUGACAUUGGGCUUCCUGUUACUGAUCUGAAUCGUCCUAUUGCAGAUCGUGUUUCUAUUCACCGUGAUGGUGGCCCUCCAGACAACAAUGUUGUCCUUACUUGUUUCAAGGCUAUGACUUGGGUUAUAGAAAAUAAGAACUCAAGCCCACCCAGUAAAGUUGCAGUCAUCAACAUGAAGCUGCAAGAUUAUGGCAAGAGCUCUUCAGGAGAGACAGAAGUGCAAUUCAGUGUGACGAGGAUCACUUUGGAGCCUAUGCUGAAGUCUAUGGCUUACAUCAGUCAGCAGCUCACUGCAGUCAAUAGAGUUGCUGUCAUCAAUCUGAAGCUGCAGGAUACAAAGACAACUACUGGGGAAACACAGGUGAAAUUCCAAGUUUCUAGAGAUACACUGGGUUCCAUGUUGAGAUCUAUGGCCUACAUCCGGGAGCAGCUUUAAAAGUUUGCAUAGCAUUCUUGUGGAUCGUUGGAACUCCACUUCAUUGUUUGGCGUAUGCUUUGAAUCCCAACAGAUACUAUAAAUUUUGGCUCAGACAGUGACUGAAAUGCCCUGGUGCAGUAUCAUGGAUACUCUCAGAUCCAUAUUCUGAAGGACUUAUUAUUUUUUGAAGGUUUGCCGUGUUGAUAAACAUUCAUGUACCUAGUGACCCUUCAAUGUUAUAUAGUAGAGGCAUUCUACAUUGCAAAGCCAGGGAGGUCUAUUAAACCUUAGCAAUGGUGAAGUCACCAAAUAAUGAGGGUAAGGUUGAAGAGGACAAACCUACUCUCUC